rnacentral:rRNA from 1 species
AGCGAACGCUGGCGGCGUGCUUAACACAUGCAAGUCGAGCGAGAAAGUCCCGCAAGGGAUGAGUACAGCGGCGAACGGGUGCGUAACACGUGGGCAAUCUGUCCUUGAGACCGGAAUAACCCAGCGAAAGUUGGGCUAAUGCCGGAUAAGACCACGAGCAGACAUGUUUGUGGUCAAAGGGCGCUUCUUCUAGGAGCAUUCACUCACGGAGGAGCCCGCGGCCUAUCAGCUAGUUGGUAGGGUAACGGCCUACCAAGGCAAAGACGGGUAGCUGGUCUGAGAGGAUGACCAGCCACACGGGGACUGAGACA